UACGUAGGGUGCGAGCGUUGUCCGGAUUUAUUGGGCGUAAAGGGCUCGUAGGCGGCCUGUCGCGUCUGCUGUGAAAUCCCGGGGCUCAACUCCGGGCGUGCAGUGGAUACGGGCGGGCUGGAGUCCGGCAGGGGAGACCGGAAUUCCUGGUGUAGCGGUGAAAUGCGCAGAUAUCAGGAGGAACACCGGUGGCGAAGGCGGGUCUCUGGGCCGGUACUGACGCUGAGGAGCGAAAGCGUGGGGAGCGAACAGGAUUAGAAACCCCCGUAGUCC
rnacentral:rRNA from 1 species